GACGUAGGGCGCAAGCGUUGUCCGGAUUUAUUGGGCGUAAAGAGCUCGUAGGCGGCUUGUCGCGUCGACUGUGAAAACUCACGGCUCAACCGUGGAACUGCAGUCGAUACGGGCAGGCUAGAGUUCGGUAGGGGAGACUGGAAUUCCUGGUGUAGCGGUGAAAUGCGCAGAUAUCGGGAGGAACACCAGUGGCGAAGGCGACUUCCUGGCCUGUUCUUGACGCUGAGGCGCGAAAGCUAGGGGAGCAAACGGG
rnacentral:rRNA from 1 species